AGUCGAGCGGUAACAGGAGUAGCUUGCUACUCGCUGACGAGCGGCGGACGGGUGAGUAACGCGUAGGAAUCUGCCUGAUAGUUGGGGAUAGCCCGGGGAAACCCGGAUUAAUACCGAAUACGCUCUACGGAGGAAAGCAGGGGAUCUUCGGACCUUGCGCUAUCAGAUGAGCCUGCGUGAGAUUAGCUAGUUGGUGAGGUAAUGGCUCACCAAGGCGACGAUCUCUAGCUGGUCUGAGAGGAUGAUCAGCCACACUGGGACUGAGACACGGCCCAGACUCCUACGGGAGGCAGCAGUGGGGAAUAUUGCACAAUGGGCGCAAGCCUGAUGCAGCCAUACCGCGUGUGUGAAGAAGGCCUUAGGGUUGUAAAGCACUUUCAGUCGUGAGGAAAGGUGUGUAGCUAAUACCUGCAUGCUGUGACGUUAGCGACAGAAGAAGCACCGGCUAAUUCCGUGCCAGCAGCCGCGGUAAUACGGAAGGUACGAGCGUUAAUCGGAAUUACUGGGCGUAAAGC
rnacentral:rRNA from 1 species